rnacentral:rRNA from 1 species
GAUGAACGCUGGCGGCGUGCCUAAUACAUGCAAGUCGAGCGAACGGACGAGAAGCUUGCUUCUCUGAUGUUAGCGGCGGACGGGUGAGUAACACGUGGAUAACCUACCUAUAAGACUGGGAUAACUUCGGGAAACCGGAGCUAAUACCGGAUAAUAUCUUGAACCGCAUGGUUCAAAAGUGAAAGACGGUCUUGCUGUCACUUAUAGAUGGAUCCGCGCUGCAUUAGCUAGUUGGUAAGGUAACGGCUUACCAAGGCAACGAUGCAUAGCCGACCUGAGAGGGUGAUCGGCCACACUGGAACUGAGACACGGUCCAGACUCCUACGGGAGGCAGCAGUAGGGAAUCUUCCGCAAUGGGCGAAAGCCUGACGGAGCAACGCCGCGUGAGUGAUGAAGGUCUUCGGAUCGUAAAACUCUGUUAUUAGGGAAGAACAUAUGUGUAAGUAACUGUGCACAUCUUGACGGUACCUAAUCAGAAAGCCACGGCUAACUACGUG